rnacentral:rRNA from 1 species
AUGAACGCUAGCGGCAGGCUUAACACAUGCAAGUCGAGGGGUAGUUGUCUUCGGAUAAUGAGACCGGCGCACGGGUGCGUAACGCGUAUACAAUCUACCUUUUACAGAGGGAUAGCCCAGAGAAAUUUGGAUUAAUACCUCAUAGUAUUUUUGAAUGGCAUCAUUUGAUUAUUAAAGUUCCAACGGUAAAAGAUGAGUAUGCGUCCCAUUAGCUAGAUGGUAAGGUAACGGCUUACCAUGGCAACGAUGGGUAGGGGUCCUGAGAGGGAGAUCCCCCCCACUGGUACUGUGACACGGACCAGACUCCUACGGGAGGCAGCAGUGAGGAAUAUUGGACAAUGGGCGCAAGCCUGAUCCAGCCAUGCCGCGUGCAGGAAGAAGGUCCUAUGGAUUGUAAACUGCUUUUAUACAAGAAGAAACACACCCUCGUGAGGGUACUUGACGGUACUGUAUGACUAAGGACCGGCUCACUCCGU